AUUGAACGCUGGCGGCAUGCUUUACACAUGCAAGUCGAACGGUAACAGGCCGCAAGGUGCUGACGAGUGGCGAACGGGUGAGUAAUGCAUCGGAACGUGCCCAGUCGUGGGGGAUAACGCAGCGAAAGCUGCGCUAAUACCGCAUACGAUCUAUGGAUGAAAGCGGGGGACCGUAAGGCCUCGCGCGAUUGGAGCGGCCGAUGUCAGAUUAGGUAGUUGGUGGGGUAAAGGACGUCACCAAGCCAACGAUCUGUAGCUGGUCUGAGAGGACGACCAGCCACACUGGGACUGAGACACGGCCCAGACUCCUACGGGAGGCAGCAGUGGGGAAUUUUGGACAAUGGGCGCAAGCCUGAUCCAGCAAUGCCGCGUGCA
rnacentral:rRNA from 1 species